UUGAAUUAUGAAGGCAGUUUCCCCCAUGCUGUUCUCGUGAUAGUGAGUGAAUUCUCAUGAGAUCUGAUGGUUUUAUGAAUGGCAGUUUUUCCUGCAUCCUCACUUCUCUCUCCUGCCACCAGGUGAAGAAGGUCCUUGCUUCCCCUUCUCCUUCCGCCAUGAUUGUAAGUUUCCUGAGGCCUCCCCAGCCAUGUAGAACGAAAGAGAUUUCAAGCUAUCAGUCUCACUCAAUUGAGAAGACAGAGUUCAUUGAGAAUUUGGGGA
rnacentral:lncRNA from 10 species